UACGUAGGGUGCGAGCGUUAAUCGGAAUUACUGGGCGUAAAGCGUGCGCAGGCGGCGCGUUAAGACAGGUGUGAAAGCCCCGAGCUUAACUUGGGAAUUGCGCUUGUGACUGGCGUGCUGGAGUGUGGCAGAGGGAGGUGGAAUUCCACGUGUAGGCAGUGAAAUGCGUGAGAGAUGAUGGGAGGAACACCGAUGGCGAAGGCAGCCUCCGU
rnacentral:rRNA from 1 species